UACGUAGGGUGCGAGCGUUGUCCGGAAUUAUUGGGCGUAAAGAGCUCGUAGGCGGCUUGUCGCGUCGGAUGUGAAAGCCCGGGGCUUAACUCCGGGUCUGCAUUCGAUACGGGCAGGCUAGAGUUCGGUAGGGGAGUCUGGAAUUCCUGGUGUAGCGGUGAAAUGCGCAGAUAUCAGGAGGAACACCGGUGGCGAAGGCGGGACUCUGGGCCGAUACUGACGCUGAGGAGCGAAAGCGUGGGGAGCAAACAGG
rnacentral:rRNA from 1 species